ensembl:lincRNA Gm17767 predicted gene, 17767
AAGAGCAGACAGCCACAACUCUGACAGCAUGGCUCGUGUUUAGUAGUGCCUCUUUAGUUAGUUUGUGAGAGAGACUCAACUGAGUUUUUUUUUUUUUCUUCUUGCUUUCUAUCUUUGAAAGUAUGUAUUACUGAUCCAUUCAACUUUUAGAUUCUCCAAAGAAAAUUCUUUCCUAGGAAAGGUGAGAGAGCUACAAGAAGAUGUAGCUAAAAUGAGUUUCAUUUUGGGUUCUGCAGUGGCAGUGGCAGCCUCGGCAACGGGAUGCAGGCAGCCAUGGCAACGGGAUGCAGGCAGCAUGGCUUCAGAAAUGAGCUCUUCACCAAGAUUUGAAAGAACUCUUCGUGCAUCUUAGUUUAUAAUUAUGGCCCAGCUCUUGGGGGCACUUCACAGCUGAGCAUCUCUCUCCAGGUUCCCUUCCUCAGCUGCAAUAUUGGAAACACAUCGCAAAACAGAAGCAACUUGCUUUUCUUUCUUCAAUGCAUAGAAGACCAUCAUCUGCAGUUUCUCCAACUCAGAAUUGGAAAAAUCAUAAACUCGUAACAAAAAAUAAUCUUAGAACUUCAGACCAGGAGUGAGGAGACAGCCUGUGACUCCACUUCUGCCCAGAGAGCCAGACACAAGGCACAAGCAAGUGUCAAUACCAACAGCAUCACAGUACCAGGCUAUGCACAACCCCUUGAUUUCUCUCCACAGCGUCCACCGUGAAUGCCAACCUAUUCCUGUGAAACACAUUUUGAGGAAAAUAAAGACAAUAACAUGGAAUCCCAGGGGUUGAUUGACCAAAGCUGCAGACCGACAGACAGGCCUGCCUUCAGUAGCUGGAAAAGAUGGUUAAGGCUUAUUCUAAUUGAAAAUCGACAUCCAUUGUGAACAGAGAGGUCAGCGGGCUCUCAUACAAACACUACAACAUCGAGUUUUGCAGUCCUGGUGAGAGGUCCCUUCCCCCAUCAUCAUUACGCUGCGUGGCUCAGGUGAGGCUGACUCACUCCCAGCAGCUGGGGUUGUCAAGACAUGGAAGCACGGCGCAUCAGGUGUUUCAUUUCUCUCUGAGGACGGAGACAGACCCAGCUGAAUCAGUGAAAAAAAAGCUCCCAUGAGAUUUCGAAGAAUUCUGACAAAAGAGGCCUUCCUUUCCCCAGAAACUGAGCUUCUAGAUCAUCAUAAGCCUGCCUCUUCCAGUUACUGUCUCUACUCCCCAGAUGAGGGAAAUUGAUGUUAGGAAGAGAAGAAAACAUUGCCGAGAAAGGCAAAUAGUUGAAGGUACUCUGAUAACACCGUUGGUGGUUUGAUUUGUUAAAACAAGGUUUUACUGCAUAGCCCUGACUGGCUUUGAACUGUUGACAGUCCAUUUGCCUCAGCCUCCCAACUAACUAGGAUUAUAGGGAGGUAUGAGCCGUUAUGGUUAGUUUGUAGAUGUUUUAAAAUUUUAAUAUAGGAUAUUUCAUUUCAUCAAAUUACAGAACAACUAAGAAGC